GUUUCACCUAUGGUAAGCGUGUCGGCUUCCCUCAUCACACCGGAAGCUGUUACGUCACUUCCGCUGUAUCAGCUCCAGCUGUGAUGAGUGAAGGGGCAUGCACAGAACAACAGUACAACG
rnacentral:precursor_RNA from 16 species